CUACCAUGGGCUUCUGACUAAGAUACCUGCCUCUCAGCCUCCGUGUGCCCCCAACAUGAGGGCUGCCUCCCAGGGCUGACCCGACACGCUGUGAUAGCCCGCACUUCCAUUUCUGGAUUAGCAUUGAUUAGGUUAAUUAAUUAGCAUUAAGUCAGAACUACAGACCCAGAAAGAAAUGGCCAGAGGGUGUGGGACCGCACAGCUAGGAUAACCAUUCCACAGACCCCCAAAUCCAUAAGACCCUGCUGGUCCGCCCCACCCCCUGCCUUCCCCUUGCUCACCAGGUCGCCCCACCCGGUAUCCUGGGUGCCCCAGCCAGCGCAUGCAGACCAGGCUCAGUUGGGAGCCUUAGUCAGCCCUAAAUCUCCCUCACCUGUCACCUCCCAGGGCCAGUCACGUGCUCAGCGAGGCCUUUUCAGACUGACUUCUAACCCCACUGGGUCACCUGUCAUCCCAGAGCCCAGCGCCCUUCUCCAGGCAUUUUCCUAGUUUUAUUUCUGGAAUAAGCACUCGAAUGCGACAGACUUCCACUAAAGAAGAAUUUCUCUGUUUCCUAAUUUACACCCAGCGCUGGAGCUGGGCCCAGCCUUCUUCAGCAGCACCAGAGCUCUACGGUGACCAGAAGCCAGGCCCUGGGUCUGAGGCUGGGGAUUGUCCCUGGAGGACGACGACCCCAUCUGGUCACGUCCAUCGCUGUGUUCUGGUCAGUCUGGGUCUGCCCCGGGCCCAGGUGCCCCUUAUUGAGGAGAAUCUUUUCCUCCUUCAGGCAGCUUCGUCUCAUAGGACUCAGACCAUCAGGGAAUGUGAGCUCUUUGCUGUGGCCAGGCUCAGAGAAGACCCUCCAGGGACCUUCCAGGCAGCCAAGCCGCAGUGGGGUCGCAGGUGCCCUGGCUGUUUUAAGGACUCAGAGUCAGAAGAGAGCACUGACCACUUCUGGCUCCAGCAGGAGGGGCUCCAGGCGUCCCUCGGGUGGUGGCCGCCUCCCUCCAGGCUCUGCCUCCAUCAUUACAUGUCAUCUCCUCUGUGUAUGCGCCUCAGAUAUAAGGACACUGCUCAUCGGACCACCCUAACCUCAGUUUGGAACUCAUCUAAAUUCAGCUGACUAUCUGCAGAGACCCUGUUUCCAAGUCAGAUCACACCGGUGUUUCCGGGUAGAGGUUUCUCCAAUGGGGAGGAAUCUCCCAUCCGGCAGGAGGAUUAUGUGGGCGCCACCAUUCAGAUGAGCUGGCAGACGGCUGUCACCUCCCAAGAUCGGGCCUGUGUGUGGGUGUCCCUGAGUCUCUGCGGAGAGACAGUGGCCUCAGGACAUCUCUGUCAGCCUGGACACUGGGCACGCUUUGUUUCCUCGCUGUGGGCCACGUGGCCGGGAGAGGAGCCGCUGGUCAGAGGCGGACGGCGGCUGGGGAGAAGCAGCAAAAAUGUCCCGGGGGGCCUGGGGGAUGGAGGAGGGGCUGCACAGGGGAGGCAGGAGGGGUCCCCGCCAAACACAGGCCUGGGCCUCAGGGUCCCCUCCUCGCCUGGUUGUGUCCAUUCCUUAUGUCCUCUGGGGGCCAGAGCAAUUGGCUGAGCAUGAUGGCCCUUGCCCUGGGGGGCUUGGGGGAGCCCACUGCGCUGAGCUUCUCGUCAGUCUCAGGCCAUAAGCCACCUCUGUCUCUUCUCUCCCUGAGUUUCUUUCUUUUCAAAAAUGUGUUUUUAAAAAACUUUUAAAUCGAGCUGUAGGGAGUUCCCUGGUGGCCUAGUUGUUAGGACUGAGUGUUUUCACUGCACUGGCCCAGGUUCCAUCCCUGGUUGAAAAACGGAUGUCCUGCAAGCUGUGCAGCGCAGCAAAAAAAAAAAAAAAAAAAAGGAAUAACUCGUGUAAUGUAAAAUCAGUCAUUUAAAAAUUACCCCUCAGUGGCAUUCAGUACCUUCACAGUGUUGUACAACCAGCAGCUCUGUGUAGUCGCAGAACGUUUCCGUCACCCCAGCAGGAGCCCCUGCAGCCACUGGUGGUCACCCCGCAUCCUCCGUCCCAGUCCCUGCACUGUCGCUCUGGACUUGCCGCUUCUGGACGUUUCACACGUGCGGAACUGAGAGAGUCAAUUCCUACACAGGUUGAUAAGAAGCCCGGGAUCCCCGAGGAGGAGAAAGGGGUCUGGGGCUUUCAGGGAGAAAGAGGUCUGCAAUCCUCAAGGAGGAGGAAAGGACAAACAUCUUUUUUUUUUCUCUCUACAUUCCUUAGUCUUAGUCAAAAACGUUUUUUUCUUUAAGCGGGAACCAGUGAUUACACAACAAACAACUCAGUUUAAACU